rnacentral:rRNA from 1 species
GGUAGGGCAGCAAUGCCUGGAGACCGGCGCACGGGUGCGUAACGCGUAUGCAACCUACCUUUUACAGGGGGAUAGCCCAGAGAAAUUUGGAUUAAUACCCCAUGGUGUAUUUGAGUGGCAUCACUUGAUUACUAAAGUUCCAACGGUAAAAGAUGGGCAUGCGUCCUAUUAGCUAGAUGGUAAGGUAACGGCUUACCAUGGCUACGAUAGGUAGGGGUCCUGAGAGGGAGAUCCCCCACACUGGUACUGAGACACGGACCAGACUCCUACGGGAGGCAGCAGUGAGGAAUAUUGGACAAUGGGCGCAAGCCUGAUCCAGCCAUGCCGCGUGCAGGAAGACGCAUCUAUGGUGUGUAAACUGCUUUUGUACGGGAAGAAACACUCCCUCGUGAGGGAGCUUGACGGUACCGUAAGAAUAAGGAUCGGCUAACUCCGUGCCAGCAGCCGCGGUAAUACGGAGGAUCCAAGCGUUAUCCGGAAUCAUUGGGUUUAAAGGGUCCGUAGGCGGUUUGGUAAGUCAGUGGUGAAAGCCCAUCGCUUAACGAUGGAACGGCCAUUGAUACUGCCAGACUUGAAUUACUGGGAAGUAACUAGAAUAUGUAGUGUAGCGGUGAAAUGCUUAGAUAUUACA